ensembl:lncRNA
GUGGGUAUUUUCUUUCAAGAGGCUUGUGCCGUAAUUCUGAAGUUGAGUCAGUCUCCCACUAGAGGGGGCCAUCGGGCCGCCUCCUCACCCACCCUGGCCUUUGCUGCCAGCUCUGGCCUCCAGCAGGGCGUCCUCAGAAGGGGUUCUGGGAAGGGCGCAGUGGGUGGGGCGUGUGUAUUGUGAGCUCUUUUCCUGGAGACUGCCAGCGAGUCUGCCCCAGCUGCUGGAAAUUUCCAGCCACUGAACUUGCGAAUUUCUGGUGAACCCAUUUCACCUGGGGAAAGGGGCAGGGAGGAAAAGCCUCAGACUGUCUUGCCUCUCCCUGCAAGGCUACUCGCUGACCCGAGUUCUUCUGUCCCUUAUGAGAAAAUCAGCUUGUGAGAGAAUGGGAACCCAAAUCCAAAGGCACCUCAGAGAGUGCUCAGGAUAAAAGCUCUAAGGUCUGAGCAGUCCCAGCAGGGAGAAGACUGUGACAAGAAGACAGACCCUCUGCAGUGUUGCAAGGCCUGGACUCCGGGCCUGACUUCCUGUGAGCACUGGAAUUUCAAAUGGAUAAUGUCCGGUCUUAGUUUGUUGCCUAACUUCCUUCCUGUACACUCAACAAAAACUGUUGCCGUCAAAACUUGAAUUGUAAGAGGAGUUUUUCACUCAUUAAUGAAGAGUUUUUAAAAAAAAUUCCCAACAGACAAAGGUAGCUUCCAUGUGGUUGCUCUUGAACAGGGCAAGGCAGUUGGAAUGAGAUCUUUUGUGGUUGAACUUCCCAUGACUGAAGAAGUGAGAACCAAUGAAGCCGGUUAGGUUUUCUUUCUUCCUGGACCUCUGAGCUGCCUUUGUAGAGAUACUUUUGAGUUCUGUAUUAGGAAAUGCACUGCCUUUUGCUUUAUUGCGGGACUUUGAUACAAAUUUUAACAAAAGGUGUGGUGGAUUGUUGCUUUUCUUCAGGAAGUGGACCAAGAAAAGCACUUUUCCAAAUAAGCCCAUCUUUAUUGAGCUCCCAAUAUUCCCAGCUGCAGUGCUCUGUUUUCCAGAGUCGCACGAGUGAAUUCUACAACCCUCACAGACUUUGUUUCUAUCAUGGAAUUCUGUUUUUAUUGUGUUAGGCUCUGCUCCUCCCCGAAGGCCCUCAGCACCAAGAACUGACUGCUAUUUAGGCUUAUACUUAGAAGGCGGGAAGGCAGAAGGCAUUUAUAUGAGGGGUACAUGGGAGCUUUCCCCCUUCUACUCCAGCACGGAGAUGAUGGGCCAGGCGGGGGUUUAUCUUUUCAUUUUCCAUACCUUCUUCGUUUGUGUAGGAUCCUGGCUUCUGGAUCCCAAAUACUUUGAAGCUAUGAAAGAAAACAAGUUUACCUCUGCUAUGAGGCCUCUUAAAGAGAUAGGCCUGUCCCCAUCCAUCCAUCCAUCAGAACAUUUUAUUAAUUCAAGAAGCAUUUAUUAAGCACUUAUUCUGCGCCAGAUACCACACUGGGGAGCUCAAGAGAAUAUGCAAGUUUCCUUGAUCUUUUUCUCAUGAUUUAAUUGGGAAAGGAUGCAGCAGUAAUGCUGUAUUAGGGACUGAUAGAUCUGUGAACAAAAGUGCAGUAAUCAAGCAAUCCAGUAGUAUUAUUACUGGAUAUAGGGAUAAUAUUCAGAUACAGGGAUGGAGUUGAACAAGUUAAUCGUCUGUUAUUACCUCAUCUUUGUAGUUGUGUUAAAGGUGUGUGUGUUUGUUUCUUUCUAGCCCUAGCCCACAUGCUUACAUAAGUUGUGUUCAUAUAAUAAAGAUUUAGUUAAAUCUGCCUUCUUCAUUGAACAUUUUAACAUGAAUACACAUACAAAACAUACACACAUAAGCACACACAAACACCCAUAUGCAUUCAUGGAUACACACACACACAAAUAAACUGUGCACACAAGUGAGGGGGGAUGAGACAGAGAAACAGAGAGUGUUUAGGGAUAGAGAAAUAGGAUUUUUGAUAAGCUUAUUUUCCUAAAAUCUAUAUCCAGUGUUUUUUCUAUGUUAACCAAGGAUACCCGAGGGAGAAUGUAUGCAUGUUUCCUCCUCCUCUUAAUGCGUGCUUUAUUUUUAG